GACCCUGGCUCAGGAUGAACGCUAGCUACAGGCUUAACACAUGCAAGUCGAGGGGCAGUAUGGUCUUAGCUUGCUAAGGCCGAUGGCGACCGGCGCACGGGUGAGUAACACGUAUCCAACCUGCCGUCUACUCUUGGACAGCCUUCUGAAAGGAAGAUUAAUACAAGAUGGCAUCAUGAGUCCGCAUGUUCACAUGAUUAAAGGUAUUCCGGUAGACGAUGGGGAUGCG
rnacentral:rRNA from 1 species